CCCUCCAGUUAGAGGCUCCACUGAGAGAGACAGCUCAGUGUUAACCACUUCAUGAUCACAAGGAAACCGGAACGGUGGCAUCAUGCAAGUCAGGAGGUGGAAGUGCCCCUGCAUGGGAGCAGGACGCACAAUGCUGCAGCAGGGGAGAGGCUCCCUGGUCCUUUGGAUUCUCAUUCAGAGAAGAUAGUGGGGAGGAAAAAGAGCAGAUCGCUCUGAGCUGUGAGGUGCUGGCUUCCAAUGCAAAUGACGGCAGUUUUGACAUCUGUAGAAUGGUGAUAAUAAUGCCCACUUGCUUCACAAGAAUGUUGGGAGGAUCAAUUCACCUUUGUGAAGGGCUUUGAGAUUCUGAGACGGAAGGAACUACAGAAGGUUUGUCAUUCACCAGUGGCUAGGAUCUGCCUCACUACCCUUCCUACUUGACCCCGUUCUCUGCAUUCCCACCUCCAUACUUCCUUCCAGACUGCUCCACUUGCUCCAGCGAGAUGGAUGUCACAUUACAGCUCUUACGGUGCCAAACACCAUUACAGCUUUAUUUAGACAUGUGGAGGAGCCAUCUGUUCCGUUUUGCAGGAGUCUUGAUUCUUGCAUACAGCCCUUUACCCUCCAGGUCCUGUCACAGUGGCUUAUGCAAGGGUUCGCUGACGUGACAGCUGACUGAAAGCUAAUGACCAAGGACAUUGCAGUUUCGUAUGGGGAUUUAAAAAAAAAAUUCCAACAUGUAUUUCUUUGCCAAUGUUUCUCUUCUUUCCACACAGCCCAUCUCUCCAGGGAUGAGAUGGGGCAGGCCUGUGGCAGAUUGGAGACCUAGUGCUUAGAGCUGGUCAAAAAAUGUUCAACAAAAUAUUUUCCUGUGCCAA